UGAGAUGAGAUGGUCCUGGUUACCAGGGUCAGUCCUAAGUCCAGGGACAGGUGUCCCUACAGGAAACACGGCGGGAGGAGGAGGCUGUGUAGUGAUGGCAUGACGUGGCUGCGAGUGGAGGACGUGCAGGGCCCCUGGAACUGGAGGCCAGGCUGGAGCAGGGCCUCCCUGAGUCUCCAGGAGGGGACAACCCUGCAGACACCUGGGUUUCCAACCCUGACCUUGGAACGUGAGGGGCUGGAUCUCUGUUGCCUGAAGGCCCCAUGUCUGUGCUUACGGCAGCUCCAGGGAGCUGAUACGAUGGCGAAUGAGGGUGGGGGCUGCCUUUCUUAGAGUGGACGUGGCCGCUCCCUCAAGCUGAUCCCCAGGUUCUCAGCAAGCAGCCCACCGAACCCGCGGCUGGGCACGGAAUCCUCGGCCUCCUGCUGAAAAGCAGACUCAGCAUCUGGGCAGCCAGACUGGGCUUCCCACUGGUUCUGGGUGAGUUUCUCAGAAACAAAACCAGAGACACCCCCCCCCCCACCUCCCCGCCCCCAGCAGCACCUCUGACGCUGCUGGGAGCUUCCCCAUGCCCUGGAGGAUCCGCGCUCACUGCCCUGGUUGGAUUGAUGGGGUGUGUGCUGGGCAGCAGAUGUUAACAGCUCCCUGGGAUCCCCCCCCUUCACAGCCCGGCUGGGAACCCCAUGCCCAGCAGCCCCCAGUCCUGACACUGACGAUGGAGGGUGCCUGUCGGCACCAGGAGGGCAGUGUCCCCAGAAGAGCCAUGAGCAUUCCCAGGGGCAGGCAGGGGCCCUCCCUACGUGUUCUAGCACCAGCGAAAGGGACAUGACUCUGGGCGGAGCACAGCCCCGGGGCACAGGAAGGCCAGGACCUGACCUGGAAACCGAGACUCAGGUCUGAGAAGGAGGCGCCUGACCAAGUGCUGUCCAGGGCCAGACGCUGGGGGAGCCCAGCUGGUGAGAGCAGUGGCCUGACCCUGACCCUCAGAGCGGCCAUCACAUGGAGCUUCAGGAAAAUAUAUAGAAUGUAGAACUUGUCACCAUAACCAUUAAGUACACUCGUGGUGUCGUGCAAGUGUUCCCGCCAUCAUCUCCAGGACUUCCCAUCUUCCAAACUGAACCUCUGUCCCCAGGAAACACUCACUCCCUCUCCGCACCCCAGCCCCUGGCCCCCACCAUCUACUUCCUGUCUCUAUGGAUCUGACCCCUCCAGGAGCCUCAGAGGCCGUGGGCUCAGGAUGGCUCUCGCUUUCACCUGUAGUCAGUAGGCCCCGGGAACUGGGUGGUUCGGCAGGUUGAGGUUCCCGCCGAGCACCUGGCUGCCCGUGAACCAGAGCCAGUGCCGUGGGUCCAUGCCUGGUGUGGUCCACGGGCUGCUUUCUGGGCCAGAAGUCCUGCCCUCCUUUCUGACAAGAAGCAUACCCAAGCUGCCUGCAGCAUCGAGCUCUUCACCUGGAGACGGCUUGGAUGUGAUGAAAGCUGGCAGCUGACUUCCCUGUGACAGUCCCCUCCGAGGAUGGUGUGCCCGGGCCUGCGGCCAGGACAGGAAGCUAGAUGUCAUCUAUGUUCUAGUGCAGGGUUACUCCCAGAUCAAGCACUUGCGGUGCAUUAAACAUGUUGUCACUCAGAAAAA
ensembl:lncRNA